rnacentral:rRNA from 1 species
UACAGAGACUGCAAGCGUUAUUCGGAUUCACUGGGCGUAAAGGGUGCGCAGGCGGCCAAGUGUGUGAGGCGUGAAAGCCCGGGGCUUAACCCCGGAAUUGCACCUCAAACUACAUGGCUAGAGCAUUGGAGAGGGUAGCGGAAUUCACGGUGUAGCAGUGAAAUGCGUAGAUAUCGUGAGGAACACCAGAGGCGAAGGCGGCUACCUGGACAAUUGCUGACGCUCAGGCACGAAGGCCAGGGGAGCAAACGGG